AGAAGGAUUGGGAGCGGGCUCUAGAUAUUUCUAUGGCCUCCGGCCAUAAAUCUUGAUGGACAGUUAAAAUGGGUCAAAAUAAAAACUUCUAUCUUAGAAGGUUGUAUUGUCAAUUAAACAAACCAAAACGUGGGGAUCUGUGAGUGCUUACACGCAAGAUCCUCAAAGCUCAGAGUAAACUGCUAGCUUAGCUAGUUUGUUAUAUGUAUA
rnacentral:lncRNA from 1 species